rnacentral:rRNA from 1 species
UGCAAUUGUUUCUCCAGAAGUGAAUUAUGGAGGAAAAGUUGACCUCUUACGAGGCACGUCAUUCGACUGAGUGACCUAUCAGCUAGUACUUAGGGUCUUUACCUAGGUAGGCUAUCACGGGUAACGGGCGGUUACCGUCGGACUGCCGGAGAAGGCGCCUGAGAGAUAGCGACUAUAUCCACGGGUAGCAGCAGGCGCGAAACUUUCCCACUCGAGACUUUCGGAGGAGGUAAUGACCAGUUUCAUGGAUGGCUUAUGCCAUUGUGAAUAGGAUCGCACCUUUCCAGUGCGGUGAAACCUAGCAGAGGGCCAGUCUGGUGCCAGCAGCUGCGGUAAUUCCAGCUCUGCGAGUUUGCUCCCAUAUUGUUGCAGUUAAAACGCCCGUAGUCUGAAUUGACCAGUAAUGGUCUUGUGUAUAUUUACGUUCACUGUGAACAAAUCAGGACGCUUAGAGUAUGGUUACAGGAAUGACUCAGCGCAGUAUGAUUUCUGUGUUU